UACGUAGGGGGCUAGCGUUGUCCGGAAUCAUUGGGCGUAAAGAGCUCGUAGGCGGUUUCGUAAGUCGGAUGUGAAAACUCCAGGCUCAACUUGGAGACGCCAUUCGAUACUGCGAUGACUUGAGUCCGGUAGGGGAGUGUGGAAUUCCUGGUGUAGCGGUGAAAUGCGCAGAUAUCAGGAGGAACACCAGCGGCGAAGGCGGCGCUCUGGGCCGGUACUGACACUGAGGAGCGAAAGCGUGGGUAGCAAACAGG
rnacentral:rRNA from 1 species